UUUAUAAAACUGUGAGGGGUGUACUCAGUUUUGUGAGAUACUGUAGCACAGUAACAACAGCCACUUGAAAAUAUGCAUGUGCGGUACAUAGCACAGUAACGACAGCCCCUUGAAAAUAUGCAUGUGUGGUACAUAGCACAGUAACGACAGCCACUUGACCUUCUCCUCUCCUGCAGGACUACGCUGGGACAUUUGUCUGGGACACUCAGUGAACCGGCCCUCCGAAGGACAGGCCAUUUGGAUGUGAUUAAAAAGCAUUACAGAUCCUGAAGCCUGCGCUGCUCCCCAAGCUAUCAGGAUUAGGGGCUAAUCCCUCACGGAUCACCAUGGAGAAUUGGCCCUUGCUUGAGAGGGAAUGAAGCAUGAAAUCAAAGAAGUCUUUCCUGACCGACUUUAAAUGAUCUAGAUUCCGAGCAGACACACCUUGGACUGAAUAUCCACACGACCCUACCACUUCUGGAAAAGAGGGCCUCUUUUGAACCAGCCGCAGUUCCAACGCCAGCAGAGCAAGGCCAGACGCAUUCCCAACACCCCUCCCGCAGACAAUGACAAAAACCCAGAACCAAACCAAGAACAAUACGCAUAGUUCAGAGGACCCUCAUAUCGUCAGUGAGGAGGCAUGUCACAACUGCUGAUCAACACCAAAGUCCCACUAGAGGCCCUCAUCAAACUUUGCAAAAGCAAGAGUAACAGCGGAUCCCAAAUAACCCAUUAUCAGGACCAGUGUUAAUAUCCAAAUGACAAUUUGCAGAUGGCUGUACAUGGUCACCUCCCCAUGGGGGAGGUCUAACUAUUGAUAGCAUAUGGAACUGAAUGUACAGACAACUGCCCCCACAGUAGCACUAAAAUGAAUCACACAUCACGUCUGUGAGAGCCCUGUCGCUUGACGGUUCUACGUUUUGUUUUCCUUUCUUCUCCAGCCUCCAAUGUCCAACCUUGCAAUGACACAGAUAUUUGGAAAAUAUUUUGGUUGAAUCCAGAACAGAGGGGUGUAUUCAUUCUGCCUAAGAAAACAAUUAGUGGUAAAAUAUUUCAGCACACAGAAGCAAACAGAAUGAAACAGGGAGAAACAGAUUUUGUCAAACUAAAUGCAGGUAGGCCCAGGGCUGUGGUCGUCACAUUUGUAUUUGCGGGUAAUUUUCAUGCAAAUCAUUGCGGUACCACAGUCAUGUACUUAAUUAACAUAAACAUGUUGAGCACUCUGCCAAAUGCUGCUGAGUGCACACAGCUGUGUUGAGUGGUUCUAAAAGGUGUUAAUUAGAAACAGGUCCCAUUUAUAUUUGUCAAAUUUAGUUGUGAUCCAGAUCUUCAGUAAGAAAGUCUUAGAAGUCAAACAAUAUGGCAAUGCUAUGCAUGUGACUCGACAUUGCUUGUGCUGGGCGCUU